UUUUUUUUUUUUUUUAAAUGUAAAUAAGAUGGUGUCUUUAAUUUUUGUUUUAUCUUUUUGUCUCUAUUGAAUAGUCUAAUUUUCAUUUUAACUUUUCGAGAAGGACCUUCUUAAGACCUUCCUUGGAGACAUUUCAUUAAGUGUUGCUGCAUUUAAGAACGAAUCUACAACUGUUCAUUGUCUUGGAUUAAUGCUGCUGCUGCUAUAAGUAACCCUGAAAAUCAAGAAUGUGUGAUGCACUUUUGUUGUUUUUCUUUUACGUGACCAUGUAGUUACUCUGCGAGUAGUUAAACCCUGGUGUAACACAGCCACUAACCGCGGGUAGCAUAGGAACGGGGUCCAGGAGAGGGGUCUGCCUGACUUUGGUGCUGACCUAUGGGAACUUCUAUGCAAACGCAAGCAAAGGAGAACUCUUAACUUGAGAGAACACUGUGCAUUUUCCUUUCGUUGUUGUUGCUUUUUCUCUCCUUCCUUUUCUCAAGCUGCUAUUGGAAAGGGUAGUGCGAAUCCCUGAGGUUUUCAGCUUCUCCUUCCUGCCUGGCUGGUGGUGCGGGAAGGACACCCGAGUAACUUGUGAGGUAGAAAAAUCUCAAUCAAUGUCUUGUCUCUGGUUUUAAUACUUCUGUUUUCUGGUUGAAUCUCUCUAUGGAAGGAAAUUGCUCAUCUCUCCAAAAAGAUCUUUUUAAUGCUUUAUCUCAAUGUGAAGUUAACCAGCAGUAUUAAGGAUUGUGUGGCCUCUUUCCCGCCUGCACCCCCAGCAUUCCAGAGUCACAGGCUCCUUCUCUGGGUGCUGCAGAGUGGUUGGUGCCCAGAGUUGGGACGUUUUCCAAGGAAAAAGGCCAUCUACCCAAACAAAACGUGGUGGCUGAGGUGUGAGGGAGGAGUGGAGGGAGGUCUUGCCCCAUUGAACCCCGAGAACCUCUUGUCUUCAUGGGUCAAACCUGGACCACCGUGGGGGGGAUGCAGCCCUGCAGGAGGAGUUCAGUGGAGGGGGAAAAGGGAAUUUACUUGACUAUUUAUAGAAGAUCCUUUAGGAAAAAUAGUACCUCUAAAGUGAGGGAAGAAUGAGAAAGGUCUACGGUUGUGUAGGAAAAACGCUUGGGGAUUACAACUGCCUGGAAAAUAGUAUAUUAAUACAUAGGCUAGAACUCUCUGCUUCUUUAACUUAGUUUAUUCAGCAUCCAUUAGUUCUUUUUGGCCAGCAUUUGCUGUUUUAGACACGUGUUUGUGUGUGUGUCCGUCUGACUAAAUGUGCCUUGCACGAGUGCUUAGUCUUUGUGAAGGGAGUUGGUGGUGGUGUGUGAGCUGCUGGGACGGUCAGGCCUCGUCUACAGCUGAGGGUUCCUUAGUGUGUCCCAUUGGAUUGAUGGACUUGGGCUUGAGUCUGCAUAGUGGCCGGCUUAUGGUUUGGGGGUGAUGUCCUGUGGGGUGGCACCUGUGAUUUUGGAGGGGGCAGAGAAAGAGAAGCUGCUUUGCUGUUCUCCUGCGGUCAAAACCAAGCAUUGCCAUGCUUCACCUGCAAAGCCAGAACCAGCGAUGGUCUGCAGCUGGCUUUGCGCUGGAGUUAGGGCUCUGCAGCACCAGGGAUCCCGUUAUCCGAGGGUUUAUUCCCUUCCAGGUUGUGGUUCUUGUUACUGUGGGGUUUUUCUCUUACAUUUUUUGUUGUAAAGCAGAAUUAAACACGCCUUGCUUAAAGUUAACAAAACAGGAACGCUUCUGUUUGCAGUCAGUGACUCUGAAUACGAAGCUGUGCAAUUCCUUGUUCCUUCAUCUCUCUCCCAGCUCACCCCAACGUGUGGUUCCCGUCCCAAUCUUUCUGUGCCCCUGCUCACUGUAAAUGUGAAAAGCUUGCUUGCAUUAUUUUCUAGAGAUGCAUUUUGCACACUGGGGCUUCGCCGAAGCUCCGUGAAAAGGUUAGUUUGAAGCAGAUGAAUAAAGCUAUGCACAUGUUUUGAAAGUUUAAUUUGUGUCUCAUUACCAGAAGUGACUUAUCUGCCCUCUUUUGCAUUCCUGUGCUGUCAUUGCCUGCAUUCUCUUCACCACCCCGCAGGGUCUGAUGUAAGGUGACAGUUCUUUGCUGACAGCUGUAGCAGAAAACUGGCGCUUCUUGAUUCUUUUUGGUAGCCUCUCCCCUCUCCUUCGCUUUCUCUGUCUCUCUCUGUAUAGCUAUAUAAAUAUAUAUAUUAUUUUUUUAUUUUAAAGAGCCUACUUUAGUGCUUGGAUCGGAGGGAGCGGGGUGUCGCUGGCCUGUGGUUCAGGUACACUCCUAGUGUCGGAUGAACGAGUGUCCCUUUAUUCCUCUGGUUGAGAGUGGUACCCGCCGGGUGUGCGGAUGGGGACAGGGAGCACACAGCUUUGAGGAGGGGAAGGAGACGGAGCUGCUGGAGGCUUCUAAUGACAGAAUUAACCCUACCAUUGUGUAUUCCCACUGUGAGGUGGGGGACAGGCUUCCUCGCUGUGGUCCCUGGAGCGGAGGGUGAGCUCACUCCGGUCUCUGAGCUUGAUUUGGGGUUUGUUUUCACGAGUUGGGUGCGUUGGGUUGCAGGUACCACCUUUGGAAACGUGUUGCUUAGCCAGGAUACUGCUUAUCCCAGAGCCUUUGUGCAGGAGAGUUGGGAUUCUGUGCCGGGAGAAGGACCCUGACCCUGACUGCUUCCUCCUCCUGUUCCCUUCGCCGUGGCAGCGAUUUGUACUAACUUGACAGCUUUCUUUCAUACCGAACAGGGCUGCUUUUCUAUCUACCAUCACACACGUGUACUUACACACCUUCAGCCUCGCUCUGGAGGUCCUCAACUUGUUUACUGGGGGGACGGAUGCCCCCUCUGUCCCCCUCCCCUGAGUAUUUCAGUGUUAAGGGCGAUGUGAAAACACAACCGCGCGCUUCGCCCGUCUCCUCCUGCCUCCCCCAUCCACGAGUUCUCAUUUCCUUCCGUUUCCUUGUGUAUUAAAUUCACCACGAAGGGGCUGCGCUGAAUUACCUCUGACGCGCAGAGAGGCGCAGCCCCUCUUGGUUGUGUGCGACCACACGAGUCUGUAAAGGUAGUUUGUGUUUCCUUCUCCCUUCCUUGGUUAUUCCCGAUGAGGUUAAUGCACUCUUGUGUGCCCAGCUGGAAAAGUGUCGGCGUUUUCCCGGUGGUGAGAGGGUGGCUGGAAGAGUUAGUGGAAUUCCUGCUGUAGCUGUGUCUGGCGCAGCCCUUUGCGCUGGAAUGGGUGAUGUCAAGGACUGUAAGGAUAGGUAAUGUCCAUGAGCUGUAAUGGCAUGAUGUUAUCUUUACCAAUGAUGUCAUACUUCACACUAAAUGUUUAAAAAAAAAGAGAAAAAAAAAAAAAAAGGAAAAAAAAAGAAAAAAAUUACCUGGAAUUUUGUUUAUUCUGCACCAACAGGUCUUCAAAAUUUAUCCAAAUUUUAUUAUUUUAUCAGGAAAAAAAACAGAAAAACCAGAAAUUUGUGUAGAUCGAAUACGUUAAGACAGACAAUAAGUGAUGUAAAUUGUUGAAUAAAAGUUUUAAAGUU
ensembl:lncRNA